UUCAGAAAGAUUAAAUCUCUUUUGGAUUUUGAUGGGCAUUUUUUUUCCUUCAUGCAAAAGGUGUGAAAAUUGACUAAGUUGUGGUACAACUUUGAGAUGCUCCCUCAGGUAAAAAACCGGUUUGUAUUGUUUUCAUUGUCCUUAAUUGACAUGGACACCAGGUAUCUUCACAACUAUAGGUGAGUUAAAGAGUUUAUCUGAGUCAGUGAGUGGACAGUAUCAAAGUAAUUCAGGUGUUUGUUUAUUUUUGCACCUUCUGCAGAAAGGAAAAAAAAUGCCCAUCAAAAACCAAGAAAGAUUUUAUCUUUCUCAAACACAAAAUGCAUUUAACUUUUAUAUAUCUAGUGGAUGCUAGGCAUUAAAACUUUCCAAACAGCACAGGUAAGUCUG
rnacentral:lncRNA from 1 species